rnacentral:rRNA from 1 species
GCUCGUAGUUGGAUCUCAGUUCCAGACGAGUAGUGCAUCUACCCGACGCGAUGGCUCGGACUGAACAUCAUGCCGGUUCUUUCUUGGUGCACUUCAUUGUGUGCCUCGAGAUGGCCGGUGCUUUUACUUUGAAAAAAUUAGAGUGCUCAACGCAGGCGAGUCGCCUGAAUAAACUUGCAUGGAAUAAUAGAACAAGACCUCGUUUCUGUUCUGUUGAGCGUAGGAAUCUCAUGAUGACCAGGAGC